AUCAUUCUAGCUCUUCUAUGUGGAAUGCUGCCUCAGCAUGGUUCGGUGAGCACCGUGUAGGUCCACGCACAGGAUCCUAACCGGUGAACCCAGGGCAGGCUGCUGAAGAGGAGCCCAAGAACUUAACCACUCAGCCAAAGGCCAGCCCCCAGCUGCUAUUGUUAAAUACCAGGGAUACUGAUCCAUCCAGGAAUUUGUCCCUGACGUAUAUUCUCAACACACACACAGACACACACAUACACAGACACAUCCAUACACACAGAGACACACACAAAUACACACAGACACACACAUAGUGUCAUAAUUCCUUAACACAGCACCUUAACUCCUGCACCAAACUGUCUGUGGAUUUUUCUAGCGAUCCUGCUGUGCUGGGCGUGCCUGGAGGGCAGGGACCAUGACUUGCUCACUCAAUACCCAGUACAACACCUUGCAUGGCUAAGAGCCUAACAGGGGCCCUGGCUCACACUGAAUUUAAUGCAGCAGCCUGAACCCCCCAGUGCCCCCCUUCCAGGGCAGGAGAGAGGGUGUGAGCCCUCCCCGGUGCCGUGUGACAUUUCCGUCUAUGAUGGACCAGGUAUGGGACUGUGGUCCCAUAAGAUUAGCACCAUAGAACCCAGGUGUGCAGUAGGCUAUACCAUCCAGGUGUGUGUACGUCCACUCGAUGAUGUUCACACCCAGACAAAAUCCCCUAACCUGGCAUUUCUCUGGACGUAUCCCUGCCGUUAGGUGACGUGCGGCAGUGUAUAGUUUAUGGGGAGGUAAACACAUUAUCAGGAACAAUGUCAACCACAUCCUCUCCAUCACUGCAUGUCAUUAUUCCAAAAUGGUUUGCUUUUUUGACAAGUUGAAAUGGAAUCUCCUUGUUUUAACUUGAAUUUGGGAGCCCGCGUGGUGGAGCUGCGUCCCACAGCUGCUGUGGGGUCAGCGCACCUGACCUCAGAUGUGAGCCUCAUUACUUAGUGACUGUGUGACCUUUGACAAGUUGUCCCACCCCUCUAAUCUUCGGGUUUCUCGUCCAUAAAAUAGAUGUGAGUAAUAAUUCUACCAUAAAGCAUUUUAUGAAGAUUGAAUAAGACAGGACCGGUCAAGCACUUGGCUCAAAGCCUGGAAAGUGGUAAUUAAUCAAAAAUACCGGUUCCUCCCCCCACCUUCUCCUCUCUCCCUCCUCUUCUCGCUCUCUGCUUUCUCUACCACUAGCUUCCUUCUCUUUCUUUAUCUUCUGGUUCCCUUUCCCCUUGUUCUUUUCCUUGAGCCUACAAGCAACAUUCCUCCCCACCCUGAAAGAAUCUGCCUCUUACACCACCCCCAACGCCACCUCCCACCUUCAGCUUCAAACCACGCUGUCACUGCACGGUUAGCGGAGGAAAGUAACAGUGGGAAACACCAUGGGAACCACUUCCAGGGAGACACAGACGCCAACUGGUAACUAAACUCUGGGACUGGGAGGUUGUGGGACCCAAGGCCACCCCCAAGGACUCAGGAGGGGCUGCUGCAGAGUAUCCUCUGGGUUUUGGACAUAGGACAGGAAGGACCUCCUCUGACGGGGUCCACCUGGGCCCUCAGCCCCUUCCUUAUGAAAGUCCAUGCUGACCAGAAGACAGGUCCGGGGCCUCCAUGCCAGCCUCUG
rnacentral:lncRNA from 1 species